CAGUAGCCGCGGUAAUACCGAGGGUGCGAGCGUUAAUCGGAUUUACUGGGCGUAAAGCGUGCGUAGGCGGCUUUUUAAGUCGGAUGUGAAAUCCCUGAGCUUAACUUAGGAAUUGCAUUCGAUACUGGGAAGCUAGAGUAUGGGAGAGGAUGGUAGAAUUCCAGGUGUAGCGGUGAAAUGCGUAGAGAUCUGGAGGAAUACCGAUGGCGAAGGCAGCCAUCUGGCCUAAUACUGACGCUGAGGUACGAAAGCAUGGGGAGCAAACAGGAUUAGAGACCCCGGUAGUCCCUGUCUCUUAUAC
rnacentral:rRNA from 1 species